AUCCAGCUGAAGAGUCCCAAAUAAGACGAAACGCUACUCUAACUGGAU
rnacentral:hammerhead_ribozyme from 1 species